rnacentral:rRNA from 1 species
AGGACGAACGCUGGCGGCGUGCUUAACACAUGCAAGUGGAGCGACGAACCAGGGCUUGCCCUGGGGCAGAGCCGCGAACGGGUGAGUAACACGUGAGUAACCUACCCCGAUGACUGGGACAACCCGAGGAAACUCGGGCUAAUACCGGAUGUUGUGCACGACACGAGAGUGUGUUCACCAAAGGAAGCUUCGGCCUCGCAUCGGGAGGGCUCGCGGCCAUUAGCUUGUGUGAGGUAACGCCACAAGGCAACGAUGGUAGCUGGUCUGAGAGGACGAUCAAGCCACACUGGGACUGAGACACGGCCCAGACUCCGUACGGGAGCAGCAGUGGGGAAUCGUUAGCGCAAUGCGCGAAAGCGUAGACGCAGCAACGCCGCGUGAGGAAGAAGGCUUUGGUUACGUAACCUACGUUCGAAGGUAGGACGAAGGUU